CACAAUUAAGCGUUGUCGCUGUUAUGCACAAAUCCGAAGGUGGCUCAUCACUUAUACGCAGCCGACCGAAAAUAUACACCUUAUGAUCUUCGGUAGCGGUCGGCGUACAGCAUUAAAUUCACGUUGACAAAGUCCCAACUGCUGAAAGCAAUUAGAGCCCCAAACGUAAAGCUUUUUCGUAACCGUUAUGCAGCCAGAUAUAUCCCAACCGCAAGCAAUACUCGCUACUGGUACAUCCUAAAACAUAAUCAGGUAUAAUUUGGAAAGUAUUGAAGCAUUCCUCGCGCGAGUCCAAGCCCAACUGACCGCGACCAUUCCACCCGCACGCGUGUAUCCUUCCAUUUGUAUCGAGUACAAGCACAUGACCGCCACCGCCGCGUAUACGGCGCACGCUAGUUGGAUUAAAUGAAUAAUCUCGCACAAUUUGCGGUGUCAUACACAGCUCCGAUUCAUAGCCAAGGCUAAGCUGUCCGUGCGAGUUGGCGCCCUGUGCCAACUGAUUUGCAAUUCAAAUUCACUGCUUACCCAGGCGUACACCGACAUUAUGUUACUAUAAUUUGAUAUCGUUGCAGCCACCAGUUGCUACUUCCGGCGCACGAAAAUCUCAGGUAAUUUACUCGAUAGCGCGCAAAGUCGUUCGUCGCAGGCGUACUAGCUGUGUCCUAUUUGCUUCCUUGCCAGUUACCGACUGCUGUCGUGUAUUUGCUUUCGCCUACCUUUUAGCUUAUUUCUUGUUAAAUUUGCGUUUCUUGUGCACUCGAAUUGUUUUUUGGCUGAUUGCAUGUUUUAGCCAAAUUAAAUGUACUUUCUUUAACGAGGUG